AAUUGAAGGCUUGUAUGAAUGGUUGAAUGAAAUAUAUGUUGUAUCUUAAAAUUUUUUAUUUGAAUUUUAUUUUUUAGCUUAAAAAGCUAAAAUAAUGUUUAAAGACGAGAAGACCCUAUAAAGCUUUAUUUUUUUUAUUUUAAUUUUUAUAAAGAAUUUUUAAAAUUUUAAUUUAAUAAAAAUUUUAUUGGGGUGAUAUUAAAAUUUAUAAAACUUUUAAUUUUUAUAAUUAUAAAUAAAUAUUUUAUUAAAUUGAUCCAAUUUUUUUGAUUAAAAAUUUAAGUUACUUUAGGGAUAACAGCGUAAUUUUUUUGGAGAGUUCAAAUCGAUAAAAAAGAUUGCGACCUCGAUGUUGGACUAAGAAUUAAUUUAGGUGUAGAAGUUUAAAAUUUAAGUCUGUUCGACUUGUAAAUUCUUACGUGAUCUGAGUUC
rnacentral:rRNA from 1 species